GAUGAACGCUGGCGGCGUGCCUAAUACAUGCAAGUCGAGCGAACAGACGAGGAGCUUGCUCCUCUGACGUUAGCGGCGGACGGGUGAGUAACACGUGGAUAACCUACCUAUAAGACUGGGAUAACUUCGGGAAACCGGAGCUAAUACCGGAUAACAUGUUGAACCGCAUGGUUUAACAGUGAAAGACGGUCUUGCUGUCACUUAUAGAUGGAUCCGCGCCGCAUUAGCUAGUUGGUAAGGUAACGGCUUACCAAGGCAACGAUACGUAGCCGACCUGAGAGGAUGAUCAGCCGCACUAGAACUGAGGCACGGUCCAGACUCCUAAGGGAGGCAGCAGUAGGGAAUCUUCCGCAAUGGGCGAAAGCCUGACGGAGCAACGCCGCGUGAGUGAAGAAGGUCUUAGGAUCGUAAAACUCUGUUAUUAGGGAGGAACAAAUGUGUAAGUAACUAUGCACGUCUUGACGGUACCUAAUCAGAAAGCCACGGCUAACUACGUG
rnacentral:rRNA from 1 species